UAAGCAUAUCAAUAAGCGGAGGAAAAGAAACUAACAAGGAUUCCCUUAGUAACGGCGAGUGAACCGGGAAGAGCUCAAAUUUGAAAUCUGGCUGUCUUCGAUAGUCCGAGUUGUAAUCUAUAGAAGCGUUUUCCGUGCUGAACUGUGUAUAAGUCCCUUGGAACAGGGUAUCAAAGAGGGUGACAAUCCCGUACUUUACACAAUCAUCAGUGCUCUGUGAUACGUUCUCUACGAGUCGAGUUGUUUGGGAAUGCAGCUCAAAAUGGGUGGUAAAUUCCAUCUAAAGCUAAAUAUUGGCGAGAGACCGAUAGCGAACAAGUACCGUGAGGGAAAGAUGAAAAGCACUUUGGAAAGAGAGUUAAACAGUACGUGAAAUUGUUAAAAGGGAAACGAUUGAAGUCAGUCGUGUUUAUUGGAUUCAGCCGGUCUUCGGUGUACUUCCUUUAAACGGGUCAACAUCAGUUUUGUCCGGUGGAUAAAGGCAGUAGGAAUGUGGCUCCCUCGGGAGUGUUAUAGCCUAUUGUCACAUACACUGGAGGAGACUGAGGACUGCAGCUCGCCUUUUGGCCGGGGUUCGCCCACGUUCGAGCUUAGGAUGUUGACAUAAUGGCUUUAAACGACC
rnacentral:rRNA from 1 species